rnacentral:piRNA from 1 species
UACCUCUCAGAUUAAUACCUGCUGUGGGAAU